ensembl:lncRNA
AGACAGACAGGUGUAAUCAGUAACCCACCACAGAGAGACAGACAGGUGUAAUCAGUCACCCACCACAGACAGACAGACAGGUGUAAUCAGUAACCCAACACAGACAGACAGACAGGUGUAAUCAGUAACCCACCACAGAGAGACAGACAGGUGUAAUCAGUAACCCACCACAGACAGACAGACGGACAGGUGUAAUCAGUAACCCACCACAGAGAGACAGACAAGUGUAAUCAGUAACCCACCACAGACAGACAGGUGUAAUCAGUAACCCACCACAGAGAGACAGACAGGUGUAAUCAGUAACCCACCACAGAGAGACAGACAGGUGUAAUCAGUAACCCACCACAGAGAGACAGACAGGUGUAAUCAGUAACAAACCACAGACAGACAGGUGUAAUCAGUAACCCACCACAGACAGACAGACAGGUGUAAUCAGUAACCCACCACAGACAGACAGACAGGUGUAAUCAGUAACCCACCACAGAGAGACAGACAGGUGUAAUCAG